GUGUGGUGAGCGUGCGAAAAUGUUUAUGGAUACAGCAGCUGGAGGUUCUCUGCUCAAGAAAGGGAGCUCGGAGGCAAUGGAGAUCAUUGAAAGCAUGGCUACUACAAGUUAUCAAUGGCCAUCCGAGAGAGUUCAGUUGAAGAAAUUUGCUGCUGCGUCCAGCUCGGAUCCCAUGGUAUUGAUUUUGACUCAGCUGGCAGAGAUGAACUCGA
rnacentral:lncRNA from 1 species